UAAGUCCUACGGGAGGCAGCAGUCGGGAAUAUUGCGCAAUGGAGGAAACUCUGACGCAGUGACGCCGCGUGCAGGAAGAAGGUUUUCGGAUUGUAAACUGCUUUAGACAGGGAAGAAACAAGACAGUACCUGUAGAAUAAGCUCCGGCUAACUACGUGCCAGCAGCCGCGGUAAUACGUAGGGGGCAAGCGUUAUCCGGAUUUACUGGGUGUAAAGGGAGCGUAGACGGCUGUACAAGUCUGAAGUGAAAGCCCGUGGCUCAACCGCGGAACUGCUUUGGAAACUGUAAAGCUGGAGUACUGGAG
rnacentral:rRNA from 1 species